GGGGACGACCUGGUUUCGACAGGGAUCACGAAGUAGCUUGGUGCAUGUCAAGGUCCAGUCACCUUGUAAAUCCGCUGGAAAACAAAUAAACGCCAAUAACAAGCGUUUCGCUCUCGCCGCCUAAUUUAGGCGAGGACCGCACCGGUUUGCCUCUAGGCCGGGUUAGUUCGCUAACAGCGGUUUCAUAUUAAUACAGGCUGGAUCGUCGGGAGGGCACUGCCCGAUGAUCAAGAUCUAAAGUGUCUGGUCUUGCCAGAACCAGUCAAAGGGUGGGAAGCAAGAUGAGAUUGUUUAAAUACUUUGAAUAAGCAUGUAGAUCCAGUUAUGGACGAUUUCUGGACGCGGGUUCAAUUCCCGCCGUCUCCACCA
rnacentral:tmRNA from 1 species